rnacentral:rRNA from 1 species
UGGGGAAUCUUGGACAAUGGGGGCAACCCUGAUCCAGCCAUGCCGCGUGAGCGAUGAAGGCCUUAGGGUUGUAAAGCUCUUUCAGUGGGGAAGAUAAUGACGGUACCCACAGAAGAAGCCCCGGCUAACUCCGUGCCAGCAGCCGCGGUAAUACGGAGGGGGCUAGCGUUGUUCGGAAUUACUGGGCGUAAAGCGCACGUAGGCGGACCGGAAAGUCAGAGGUGAAAUCCCAGGGCUCAACCUUGGAACUGCCUUUGAAACUCCUGGUCUUGAGGUCGAGAGAGGUGAGUGGAAUUCCGAGUGUAGAGGUGAAAUUCGUAGAUAUUCGGAGGAACACCAGUGGCGAAGGCGGCUCACUGGCUCGAUACUGACGCUGAGGUGCGAAAGCGUGGGGAGCAA